GAUGAACGCUGGCGGCGUGCCUAAUACAUGCAAGUCGAGCGAACAGACGAGGAGCUUGCUCCUCUGACGUUAGCGGCGGACGGGCGAGUAACACGUGGAUAACCUACCUAUAAGACUGGGAUAACUUCGGGAAACCGGAGCUAAUACCGGAUAAUAUAUUGAACCGCAUGGUUCACUAGUGAAAGACGGUUUUGCUGUCACUUAUAGAUGGAUCCGCGCCGCAUUAGCUAGUUGGUAAGGUAACGGCUUACCAAGGCAACGAUGCGUAGCCGACCUGAGAGGGUGAUCGGCCACACUGGAACUGAGACACGGUCCAGACUCCUACGGGAGGCAGCAGUAGGGAAUCUUCCGCAAUGGGCGAAAGCCUGACGGAGCAACGCCGCGUGAGUGAUGAAGGUCUUCGGAUCGUAAAACUCUGUUAUUAGGGAAGAACAAAUGUGUAAGUAACUAUGCACGUCUUGACGGUACCUAAUCAGAAAGCCACGGCUAACUACGUG
rnacentral:rRNA from 1 species